AGAGUUUGAUCAUGGCUCAGAGUGAACGUUGGCGGCGUGGAUUAGGCAUGCAAGUCGAGCGAUCGUAGCAAUACGGGAGCGGCAAACGGGGUAGGAAUACAUCGGAACGUACCUUUUGGUUGAGAAUAGCGUUGGGAAACUGACGGUAAUACUCAAUAAAGUCGAGAGACCAAAGGUUUACUGCCGGAAGAGCGGCCGAUGCGAUAUUAGGUAGUUGGUGGGGUAAUGGCCUACCAAGCCUGAGAUGUCUAGGGGGUGUGAGAGCAUGGCCCCACCACUGGGACUGAGAUACUGCCCAGACACCUACAGGUGGCUGCAGUCGAGGAUCUUCGUCAAUGGGCGAAAGCCUGAACGAGCGACGCCGCGUGCGGGAUGAAGGCCCUUGGGUUGUAAACCGCUGUCAGGGGGAUGAAACCGUAAGGUUGACAGAGCCCCAGAGGAAGCACGGGCUAAGUUCGUG
rnacentral:rRNA from 1 species